CAGUCGCCGCGGUAAAACGGAGGGGGCUAGCGUUGUUCGGAAUUACUGGGCGUAAAGCGCACGUAGGCGGCUUGGUAAGUUAGAGGUGAAAGCCCGGAGCUCAACUCCGGAAUUGCCUUUAAGACUGCCGAGCUAGUAGGUGAGAGAGGUAAGUGGAAUUCCGAGUGUAGAGGUGAAAUUCGUAGAUAUUCGGAAGAACACCAGUGGCGAAGGCGGCUUACUGGCUCAUUCUAGACGCUGAGGUGCGAAAGCGUGGGGAGCAAACAGGAUUAGAUACCCCUGUAGUCCCUGUCUCUUAUAA
rnacentral:rRNA from 1 species